ACUUGGUUUCUAAAAGGAAAAGGAAGUUUGGGGGAGAGUUUGGCAGCGUUUAUGGUUGCAGCAAAUGAAGAAUCAACCCCGUUUGCAGCUGGGUUUGGAGAUAUUGGAGACUGUCCACUUUGUUCCCGUCAACCUCACCCAAUGCCACAGCCCACCGCCAUUGCUGGGAGGCUUCAGGAAAAUGGGUGGAGCUGAGGAAUAGAUGCCAGGAAAAUGUAAAAAGUCUUAUCUCCAGACAAACCUUGAAGAUUCUUUUUGAAAGUGAAACAUUUCAUCUUUAGAAUUGAACACCUCAACUGAACUUAAAGGAGAAAUUAAGUGCAAUAUUUUGAACAGCAUUUAAACGAAGAUGAGAUAGAAGACAGAACUGUUAUAAAUAUGUAAGUUUUAUUAUACAGACAAACGAAGGAUUCAGCUCUGUUGUACUGUAU